GGAAGCCAUGUGAGGAGGAUGUCUGAGUAGCUCUGUGGAGAGGCUCCCAACCGACAGCCAGCAUGAACUUGCUGGUCAUGUGAGCACACCACCUUGGCAGUGGAGCCUCCAGCCCCAGUCAAGCCAUCAGGUGAGACUACAGCCUGGCUUGUAUCUGACCACAGCCUCAUGAACAACGCAGAGCUAGGCCACCAAGGCACCUUCUAUAUCUCAUGCUCUGGAAAUACCAAGAUGAACCAUGCGGACCCUGACCUCAUGGAGUUAAGAGUCUAGUGGGGAAAGACAGACAUCAUCAAAUGCCGGCACAAAUAAAGGUUUGUUGAAGAUCAGAUGGUUGCAGAUGUGCGGCGCUGCUUCUGAGGCCCCGUGCUGUUCCACCGGUCUAUAUCUCUGUUUUGACCACAUAACAGGAAGUAAAUCACUCCUCGGCAAAUGCAAAAGAAGGAAAGGUUUUUACAACACACUUAUCAAGCUGGGCCUGAUGAUGUGUGCCUGUAGUUUCAGCUACUCAGGAGGCUGAGGAAGGAGGAUGGCUGGAGCCCAGGAGUUCAAGGCUGCAGUGGGCUACGAUCCCAUCACUUUGCUUCAGUGUGGGUGACAGAGAGAGACCCUGUCUCUAAAACAUAAAUAAAUUAGUCCAGGUGUGGUGGCUCA
rnacentral:lncRNA from 13 species